CGGACGAAGGUUGCCUGGAGAGGUAGUUGCUGAGCUGCGACAGAUUAACAUUACCUGUCACAACAAUAAUUUAUUAUUCGAGUAAAUGGAGUGUGGGUGAAUGAGAUUUUUUUGCCUAACUGCCUUCUCUGGGAUGGGGUCUAGGAAAUCAGGAUCUUCAAAUUAUGGAAAACUGCAAGACUGGAAAUUGGAGCCAUUGGAAAAUAAAUAGAUUUAGCACCUUCAGGAGAUCCUUGGCAAAAUCAGAUUAAGCUGUGUGAACUUUGUGAGUAUGCUGGAAGACAGAAAUGUGAAAUUUUGCUAUUUGAAGCUGUGUACUUUAUACUACAUCUAAAUGACAACAGCCUAUAUGAAUACUAUGUGCCUAAGUAAAACUGAGGAGGGGUAUUAAAUAAAUCCUGCUGGUGGAUUAAUAGCAUAUUCAUUCAA